AUGAUAAGAAAGGGUGUUCCCCCUGCUACCAAUGAAGGAGUUUCAUCUAAAGAAGAGGAAGAUGUUCAUCAAGGAAGAAGGAGAGGUAAUCUUAGAGCAAGACCGCCACAACAACAUGUUGUUCAACGUGCUUCAAGAAGGCCAAUUUAUGUUGAAGCUUCUGAAGGUGAAGAAUAUGAUGAUGCCCUUGAAGAACCAAAUCUCUACGCAUACCGGAGAGCACCCAACAUUAAACAUAGCAUCCCCAAGCUUGGGACAAACAUUAAUUGCAGCAAAUAUAUUCUCAAACAUGUCAUUCUCAUCAAACAUAGCAUCCCCAAGCUUGGGCCUUUUCAUAUCAUAAGCAUAAUCACUCUCAUCAUUAAUAGUAUGGAUAGCACCAAUAGUAUAGCAAUUAUCAUCAUCACAAUGAGUAAUAGGAGCAACAUCAUUUGGGAGGGAUACCUUUUCACCUUUGCUUCUCCGUCUUUUCUUUUUCUUCUUCACAUUAUGUGUGGGUUCAAUCUUCUUUUUGGAGCUCCUUAUUAA
rnacentral:rRNA from 1 species